rnacentral:rRNA from 1 species
AGUGAACGCUGGCGGUAGGCCUAACACAUGCAAGUCGAACGGCAGCACAGUAAGAGCUUGCUCUUACGGGUGGCGAGUGGCGGACGGGUGAGGAAUACACCGGAAUCUACUUUUUCGUGGGUGAUAACGUAGGGAAACUUACGCUACUACCGCAUACGACCUACGGGUGAAAGCAGGGGAUCUUCGGACCUUGCGCGAUUGAAUGAGCCGAUGUCGGAUUCGCUAGUUGGCGGGGUAAAGGCCCACCAAGGCGACGAUCCGUAGCUGGUCUGAGAGAAUGAUCGGCCGCACUGGAACUGGGACACGGUCAAGGCGACUAAGGGAGGCAGCAGUGGGGAAUAUUGGACAGUGGGCGCGAGCCUGAUCCAGCCAUACCGCGUGGGUGGAGAAGGCGUUCGGGUUGUAAAGCCCUUUUGUUGGGAAAGAAAAGCAGCAGGUUAAUACCCCGCUGUUCUGACGGUACCCAAAGAAUAAGCACCGGCUAACUUCGUG